UACGAAGGGGGCUAGCGUUGCUCGGAAUCACUGGGCGUAAAGCGCACGUAGGCGGCUUGUUAAGUCAGGGGUGAAAUCCUGGAGCUCAACUCCAGAACUGCCUUUGAUACUGGCGAGCUUGAGUUCGGGAGAGGUGAGUGGAACUGCGAGUGUAGAGGUGAAAUUCGUAGAUAUUCGCAAGAACACCAGUGGCGAAGGCGGCUCACUGGUCCGGUACUGACGCUGAGGUGCGAAAGCGUGGGGAGCAAACAGG
rnacentral:rRNA from 1 species